rnacentral:rRNA from 1 species
GAUGAACGCUGGCGGCGUGCCUAAUACAUGCAAGUCGAGCGAACAGACGAGGAGCUUGCUCCUCUGACGUUAGCGGCGGACGGGUGAGUAACACGUGGAUAACCUACCUAUAAGACUGGGAUAACUUCGGGAAACCGGAGCUAAUACCGGCUAAUAUCUUGAACCGCAUGGUUCAAUAGUGAAAGACGGUUUUGCUGUCACUUAUAGAUGGAUCCGCGCCGCAUUAGCUAGUUGGUAAGGUAACGGCUUACCAAGGCGACGAUGCGUAGCCGACCUGAGAGGGUGAUCGGCCACACUGGAACUGAGACACGGUCCAGACUCCUACGGGAGGCAGCAGUAGGGAAUCUUCCGCAAUGGGCGAAAGCCUGACGGAGCAACGCCGCGUGAGUGAUGAAGGUCUUCGGAUCGUAAAACUCUGUUAUUAGGGAAGAACAAAUGUGUAAGUAACCAUGCACGUCUUGACGGUACCUAAUCAGAAAGCCACGGCUAACUACGUG